rnacentral:misc_RNA from 1 species
UUUCCGUAGGUGAACCUGCGGAAGGAUCAUUAAAGAGAAUAUGCCCUUCGGGGUAGAUCUCCCACCCUUUGUUUAUAUUACCUUUGUUGCUUUGGCAGGCCCGUCUUCGGACCACCGGCUUCGGCUGGUCAGUGCUUGCCAGAGGACCCAAAACUCUUACUAUUAAUGUCGUCUGAGUACUAUAUAAUAGUUAAAACUUUCAACAACGGAUCUCUUGGUUCUG